AAACAAAACAAAAAACCAAAAAACAGUGUAGAACAGCUACAGUUAUUUGGCUGAGCUGUGUGUUUACAGUACCCUAAUUGCCUCAUUUCAAUGGCACCACCUGUCAGAAAAACAACAAUAGAGCCUUCAUAACCUCUACUGACUUUACUCUUAAGUAAGUUAAUGCCUGACUCGGAAUAAAGUGCUCUAGCCUUGUAGCUCCUAAAAAUACCAUUAUGAACUGUGGAUGCUCAGAACCCCUUUCCACUGAGCCGUGAAUCUUUAUUUGUGUGUGUUUGCUUUAAUGUGAAGUUGUCAAUAUUGUUUGCACAGAAAGUUUUGACACAAACUCUUUUUCUUCUGUUGAAAAUAAGUGCCUGUUUCAUAGCUUUAGCUUGUAAAUUCUCCACUGCGGAAUCUGUCUUGAUUUUAAUGCCCUGGACAAGGCUCAUAAUAAUGUUGUUUUUAUGUAAACUAGAAGUAUAACCUUUUUACAGCUUCCUACAGGUACUGUAGAAAUUCCUAAUCAUGCCUCGGCAACAGAGAGCACCACUAAGCUUUGAAAAAAAGCAGAAGUAGUCACCAGACAAACUACUUUCCAUAACAGUUCUAGUUGGGAAGGAGGCAGGGUACAGCCAGACUGAAUCCAGUCUCUUUAUACUUUUAGCCCUAUGUACAAAGGAACAACAAUCUGGGACAAUUAAAAUACUCACAUGCUGUUUUCUGAUUAUAGUUUGAAGGGGUAUGAAACCUUCAUAGAAUAAACUAGACACUGCUCUGCAAUGUGAAAAUUUAUUUAGGUUAAACACCUAAACAUUUGAGAUUUUUCCAGGAUAUUUCUAAUCUCUUUUAGUGUGUCUGGCUUAGAACCAAGAUGCCAGCAGUGGAUCACCUUGAAAUCUGAACUCACACUUCAUCUGGUCCCUGUGGUGGUCAUCUUUGCCUUUCUCUGAAAAUUUUCAAAAGUUUUUAUCUAGCUGAAGAGAUUAUUUUGCUUGAUUUAUCUAUCUUUAAAUUACACAGAUGGCUUUCAGUUUUAAACAGAGUCUGGGGCCAGAACUUAUCAGAGAUUCAGGUAGCAGAAGGCAGGAGUUAUAUUUUCCCCAAGCACUAAAGGAAAGAAGAAAAUUCAAACAUAAUGAGGCAAUACAGACCCAUACUACAAUCUUUCAAGCAAAUGAAACAUAACCACAGAAAGAAGCUGAAUUUGAAAGUCAUGUUAAAUACAGCCAGACAGGUGCACAUAAUACACUGGGACAGUGAGAUCCAUUCUCACUAGAAAUUUGUAAAACUCAAUAAAAUCUUUCUAAGAGUUAGUUCCCUCCUGUGUUAAGUGGUGCACAUGCCACAGCCAAGUCCAGCAUCAUAGCAGAAUAGAAAAUACCACGUCUGAACAGUAGCAAUUUAUUUCAGUUUGGACAGACUUUUUAUUACAUUCAAACUGAUUUUGCAAUUUUGGCUUUGCUUCGGUCAACUACUUACUUCUCCAAUGAGUUAGAGUGGGAAUUUUAUACCCAUGCAGAUAACAUUUGCUAAGGCUGUGAUGCAGGCACCACUCUUAACACCACAGGAGCUAAGUGAUUCAAAGAAAUAUGAUGACUCUGCUGAGAUUUUCAUUGAAGCAAGGGGAACCUUGUGCUUUAGUAGUUGUAAUAUUGGAUGGGAAAUGUCAGAAUGAAAUCAGUCAGUUUCUGGGUGCUUUAAGAGAGAUUAAUUGAAGCAAAAAUUUCAUUUUCCUUUGAAAAAGAAUGGAAAAUUCUCUACCUAUCAUUCAUGGAAGGAUGAUUUACUUUUUUCCAGCUCUGUCAGUCAGAGGACCCUUGAUGCAAGUAGAUGAAUCAAAGACACUUUAUCAUCAAUCGCGGCUAAACAGUUUUAGAAGUGUUUUUCCCUGUGUCCCCAAACAAAAGACGUUGUAUCAUUACAAUAGAAAAGACAAAACUACAACUUCAAAAGCAGAGCACAAAUUCAGCUGCACAUGUUUCAUUGAAAUGAGUGGGAAAAUCAACUUGGUAAACAAAUCAUUGAAUUUGUAUUUAUCUAUCUCAUUUUUGGUCUUAAACUAUCUUUGGGUUUCAGAGAUCAUCAUGGAGCUUUAAUUAAAUGUAAUUUGAAAUCUACAGUGCUGUGCUGAAGGCCCAUUCAGGAUGGACAGCCUUUUGGACAACGGACAUAAAGGGAAACAGACCCUGUGUUUUUAAAUGAACUUCCUAAUGAAAUGAAGCAUUAUGCCACUGGGUAACUAACACAUUUAUCCCCCAAACCUGACCCCCACAAAUAUAGAUGCAAAUUGCUUGAAGAUUAACACACAAAUGUUUAUUCUUGAAACUUCCUAGACCAGUUUAGUGGCAUGCAUAUUCAUAUCAAUAUUUUGAAUCUAGGUCUGCACUUUUACUGUCUCAACAGCAGCAGAUAUGAUGAUGUAAAUAUAUUCAUUUCUAUACUCAACUCCCUGGUUAGGGUUGAAAUUUUGCAUUAUUCUACUCAGCUGUAGGACAGGGUUUUUCACUUGUUCCUAAGUUGCAAACAAUUUGAGGUAGAUAUUGUCUUGGUUUGGUUUGGGGUUUUUUUCAUGUGCCAAUGUACCUGUUGCACAAUGAAGUCAGGACCAAAGCUUGGGGCUGCUGUGAUGCUGUGACACUGCAAUGGUAACAUACUUUUUGCUCUGAAGCGUAGUGCUGUUACUGAUUAUUCCACUAUAUCACCUCAUCAGUUUUCUAGCACUGGUUGUUUUUUUUACACUAAUCUGCCAAAGAAUUUUCCAACUGAAGAGCUAGCCCUUGCCAUACAGUUUCAGUUUACAGACUAGUGUGCUGUCCUUCAGAGGUGAAAAGAUCUCUCAAUGCUUUGCCACUUUGAGGACAAAUGAUUUGCAAAUUAUGUUUCAAAGAGUCACCAGUCUAGGCAUCGUCAAUUGCUUUAAAAAUGAGAAGCUAGGAGAGGAAUUCUGCUUAUGAUGGAGUACCAUUACUCUCAUUGUAUGCCAUUAACCACAUUUCUACAUAUCAAUUAAAGCUGAAGAUUGGGAUGUGCCUACUUUUAAGUAGUUUUGAUACUUCAAAGUUAUGUAAACCUUGCAGUGUGUCACACAAUUCUGAAACAUUUCCAGGUAAACAAUUGCCUCUACAUAUCCAGAAAUUGCAUUAAAGUUUUAUGAAUGUUUUUCUCCUACUUGGCCUUCCUGUAUUCCUGUUUUUAAUUACAUUGUUUGAAGGACAAUAGGUGAACUGAAUUCUGUACGCAUACAUACCUCCAGGCUCUGUGGAAAGAGCUCCUGCUCCUGAAUUUGAUGGACUAGACUCUGGCCACUAGCCGUUGAUAGAGCAGUAAAUGGAGGUUCUGUACAGCAUGUGCAGAAUGAGUACAGCAUGUGCAAAAUGAGCACAGCAUGUGCAAAAUGAGCAAACUUCAGCUGUUUAUGUCUGGUCAUAUGCCUUUUGUGCUUCGGUGCUAAACAUUGUGGAAGAUCUUUCUGCAUCAUUCUUUUGUCUGUGGCCAAAGGAGAACAGGGACUAUGUUCAUGGCUUGUCAGGUUACUUUCAUUGUCUCAUCAUUCCUCCCAAGGAUCCUUUCAGAGAGAGUCAUUCACAUCAGCCAGGCAUCUGGUUUUUUGCUGGCCUGUUGGAUAAGUUUCCAAUCUGUUUUGUUUCGUACAUCCUCCUCUGCACAGUAUAAACCCAGAGAUAAGGCAAGUUGUAGUAAUGUCUUCAACAUCCCUGAUUCUCACAAUCUGCUAUCUCAAGAUUUAUGGAUAUACAAUUCCCACAAGAAAGAAGGACAUCUGUUCAAAUGUUUUCCUGACAUUUUUUGAAGUCUAUAUCAAAAAAAUGUUCAUCUUUUUAACAGGCAUACACGAGGCUUAAGUUUCUGGUAGUUUCCAUGGUUUCAGCUUUUGGAGGCCACUUGAGGCUGUUCCCUUUUCCUCCCCGGCCCCCCGGGACCCCUCUGACUAGCUGUCCCUCAGGAGACCAAGGUUUGCUGCGGUCCUGCUGCUCUGGGCUUACCAGGCAGCGGCUGGGUUGGCGCGGUCCGAGCAGCAGCGUGCCACAGUCGCAAGUGGUGCACCAACAUGCGGCCUGGCACCAGUUCGAGUGAGCCCACCGAAGCCACUGCAGACAGCCCACUGGCUAAAAGCUUUUCCGGACGCUUUGCUAUCUGCAUCACCAUGAGCGACAGAGCCGUGAGCGGUGUGAAAAAGCCACUGCACAAGCUGUCAGCUCCACAGGGAGAAGCUUUCAGAUCGUGCUGGUGGUGCGUGCAUUUGCCUUGCCGCACAACCCAGCAGGACUGUCACUGCAGAGACAGAAGUGCCAAUUUCUGUCUGGCGCAGUUUUCACGGAUGCGGACAGCACCUUCCUAACACCCGGAAGACUGUCUGCGGAGACAGGGACCAUUACUGCAGUGUGUUUUCUGAAGAACGGCUGUAGACUAGGAGAAUGUCAAUUUCUACAUUCCUGCUCAUCGUUUAGUCUCAGAAAAUGGCCAUCUACCCAUCCACGGUGGAUGCGUGGAUGUGGGACUCAGAUUCAGUCAAAGAAAGAAACUGAGAGUUUCUAGCCAGGCAAAAGCCUGGGAAAAGAGCUGGGAAAGAAUGUAAAUAAUUGUUUAAUCUCUCUUGUUCUCACACUGUUUAUAGUGAAGUUCUAUUACUGUGCAUCAGGCACUCUGAACCAAUGUAGAUUGUUUUCACUUUAGGACCAAUGGAUUUAACCUUUGCGAAGCUCUGUAUAAAAGAGCAGUGUAUUUUGAAUAAAUUGGAGUUUCACUCUCACAGCCUUCUGAAUCAGAGUCUUCUCAUUCCCGUCCUGCCUCGACAGCAACACAUGGAUUGUUCCACAGCCCAGGAAAAAUGUGUGGGUCACUCUUGCCCAAGCCUUGAAACAGGAACACAUGUGUUUGUCUACUGCCUCAGAAGAAAAUCCGAUGUCCACAUGUUUAGUAGGGGUUCCGAGUAAGAGGCAAGAGUUGCCUACCAGUCUGGUCCACUUGCAAAACCAGUUGAAUGAAAAUAAAACACCUGAUGCGUGGGCAGAGUUCUACAGGUGCCGAGGAAUCAUAGAACAAGUUAAAAUACCGGUGCAAAACCCCCUCAUUUUGUGGCAAAGAUGGGUCCUACACUUGCCCACUUCUGAAGGAGAGCCCCAGGAAUUAGAACUACUGGGCUCUGCAAAAGCUGAAUACUGCAUUCAAUUUGAUUUUUCCCCAACCAAAGAGAUAAAACUACAUGAGCAAGUCAAACAGUACAAGGUAGAAUUGAGAGUGGGUAAAGGGUGCACAGUUGUCUAUAAGCUGAGACUUGCAACCACCACUGAUUUCCAUCCCCGCAAGCUGGACAAGAGAGUGUUUCUCAUCUGUGGGGACAAAGCAUACCCAGGAAUCCCCUCUCGUCUUGUUGGAGGUCCAUGCACUCUCGGGCAUCUUACCCUUGCUUCCCCCAACAUGACUCAAAUUCCAAUCAGGCAAGCAAAAGGUGAGGCAAAGAUUACUAAGCGGAGUGCAGGUCAAUUUGAUGAACAUUGCGAUGCUGAAAUUUACCAUUGGGCAAAAUCCAAAAGAGUUGCCGUCUCUGUGUUUUUACCAUGGGUUGUGGCAGCCAAAGCAUUGAGUGAAUUAGGCGAUCUAGAAUGCUGGGUGAGGAAGCAGGCAAAUUUAACAUCAGCAGCCCUGAGUGACCUCCUAGAAGACGAGGAAAUAACCAGAAAGGCUACCCUCCAAAAUUGGGCAGCUAUCAAUUUCCUGUUGGCACAUGGGCAUGGAUACAAAGAGUCUGAAGGGUUGUGUUGUUUUGAUCUGUUAUCUAAAGGCCAGAGUGUCCACUCGUCCAUUCAGGAGAUGAGAAACCUCAUUGGGAUUGUGAAACAGGAGAAUGAGGAUUGGUUUAGGGACCUGUUCAAAGACUGGGAUCUUCCUGGGUGGCCAGUGCCUCUUUUAAAAGACAUCUUUUACUUUCUGGUUGCACUGUUUUUAGUUUUGUUAGCAUUUGGGAUUCUUAAGCAAAUCAUUUCCACGGUCACCACCUCCAAGCCUAAGGCCUCCGCACCUGUUAUCAUCACUGCUGCCAUCACAGAAGGCAAUUGGUGGGAGGAUGACAAGCAGAACAACACAGCAGUUUGAGAGCCACAGUUUCACAUGUUCCCAAAGCACUGUUCAUCUUAUUAAAUAAAGAAGAGGAAGAUGUUGCUACCACGCUGGUGCGGUGGGGGAAGGGCUUUGGAAGGGCUUUGGGAAAUGGAAACUGAGAAGGAUUCAUUUCUGUAUUUCCCCGAGUUUAUAGAAAGUUUCAUUUCAGCAUUUUUCUGUAACCCCCCUUUUCCCCUUCCCGGAGUGAUUCCCAUUGGACCUAACCCAUGGGGUGAUUCUGAUGUGCCCGGGCUGGACACUGUCUCUAUUGUUUGGACCUUAUCUCUUAAUUUUUCUGUAUAAAAAUUGUAUCUGGGCAGCCGCCCAGUGUCUUUUUGUCCCUGUGGCGUUCAGGCAAUACAAUCUCUGGACUGCA